GAUUAACGCUAGCGGCAGGCAUAAUACAUGCAAGUUGAACGGCAGCACAGGUAGCAAUACUGGGUGGCGAGUGGCGCACGGGUGCGUAACACGUAUGCAACCUACCCUAUACAGGCGAAUAACCUUUAGAAAUGAGGGCUAAUACGCCGUAGUAUUACAGAUGGGCAUCUAUUUGUAAUUAAAGAUUUAUCGGUAUAGGAUGGGCAUGCGUCCCAUUAGUUAGUUGGUAAGGUAACGGCUUACCAAGACGAUGAUGGGUAGGGGAUCUGAGAGGACUUACCCCCACACUGGUACUGAGACACGGACCAGACUCCUACGGGAGGCAGCAGUAAGGAAUAUUGGGCAAUGGCCGCGAGGCUGACCCAGCCAUGCCGCGUGCAGGAAGACGGCCUUAUGGGUUGUAAACUGCUUUUAUACGGGAAUAAAAGAGUGUACGCGUACAUUUAUGCAAGUAUCGUAUGAAUAAGCAUCGGCUAACUCCGUG
rnacentral:rRNA from 1 species